rnacentral:rRNA from 1 species
UUGCCAUAUCAAUAAGCGGAGGAAAAGAAACCAACAGGGAUUGCCUUAGUAACGGCGAGUGAAGCGGCAAAAGCUCAAAUUUGAAAUCUGGCACCUUCGGUGUCCGAGUUGUAAUUUGAAGAAGGUAACUUNGGAGUUGGCUCUUGUCUAUGUUCCUUGGAACAGGACGUCACAGAGGGUGAGAAUCCCGUGCGAUGAGAUGCCCAAUUCUA